UGUCACAGUCAUAUCAUCCUCCAGCCCAAAACCGGUUACUCACUGAAGCUAAGCAAGGCUGAGCCUGCUCAGUACUUGGAUAGGAGACCACAUGGGAAAACAAGGUCGCUGUUGGAA
ensembl:rRNA 5S_rRNA 5S ribosomal RNA